rnacentral:tRNA from 1 species
GGGGCAUUAGCUCAGUUGGCUAGAGCGCAACACUGGCAGUGUUGAGGUCAAGGGUUCGACUCCCUUAUGCUCCACCA